rnacentral:rRNA from 1 species
UUGGAGGGCAAGUCUGGUGCCAGCAGCCGCGGUAAUUCCAGCUCCAAUAGCGUAUAUUAAGGUUGUUGCAGUUAAAAAGCUCGUAGUUGAAUAUCGGGAUUGACGUGACGGUCGUGCCUUAAGGGGUAUGAACUGUUACAGUCAAUUUCUCACCUUCUGGAGAAAUAUGAUGUCCUUAAUUGGGUGUCAUAUGGAACCAGAACUUUUACCUGAAAAAUUGAGUGUUUAAAGCAAGCUUAUUGCUCGAAUAUAUUAGCAUGGAAUAAUAAAAUAGGACGGCAUGGUUCUAUUUUGUGGUUUCUAGGAUCACCGUAAUAAUUAAUAGGGAUAGUUGGGGGCAUUAGUAUUCAAUUGUCAGAGGUGAAAUUCUUGGAUUUAUUGAAGACUAACUACUGCGAAAGC